CUACCAUGCAGUCGAGCGGUAGCACAGAGAGCUUGCUCUCGGGUGACGAGCGGCGGACGGGUGAGUAAUGUCUGGGAAACUGCCUGAUGGAGGGGGAUAACUACUGGAAACGGUAGCUAAUACCGCAUAACGUCGCAAGACCAAAGUGGGGGACCUUCGGGCCUCUUGCCAUCAAAUGUGCCCAGAUGGGAUUAGCUAGUAGGUGGGGUAACGGCUCACCUAGGCGACGAUCCCUAGCUGGUCUGAGAGGAUGACCAGCCACACUGGAACUGAGACACGGUCCAGACUCCUACGGGAGGCAGCAGUGGGGAAUAUUGCACAAUGGGCGCAAGCCUGAUGCAGCCAUGCCGCGUGUAUGAAGAAGGCCUUCGGGUUGUAAAGUACUUUCAGCGGGGAGGAAGGCGAUAAGGUUAAUAACCUUGUCGAUUGACGUUACCCGCAGAAGAAGCACCGGCUAACUCCGUGCCAGCAGCCGCGGUAAUACGGAGGGUGCAAGCGUUAAUCGGAAUUACUGGGCGUAAAGCGCACGCAGGCGGUCUGUCAAGUCUGAUGUGAAAUCCCCGGGCUCAACCUGGGAACUGCAUUCAAACUGGCAGGCUAGAGUCUUGUAAGGGGGGUAGAAUUCCAGGUGUAGCGGUGAAAUGCGUAGAAUCUGGAAGAAUACCGGUGGCGAAGCGGCCCCCUGGACGGAGACUG
rnacentral:rRNA from 1 species